CCCCUGCAAAUGGCGGUAAUGAUGGUGCUUCCAUAAUACGGCGUGUUACCAUAUGGCAAAGCAGAAGCAAGUUGGAGCCUGGAAGAAAUGACCCAUGUGGUGUCUUAGGCCAGGGCAAUGCUUAAUAAAUGAUUGCCACUAUCGUCAUCGUUGUCAUCAUCAUCAUAAUGUCAUAGAACCAGGGUUCUAGAAGGCUCUGUGGCAGGGAGUGGGAGGGUGAUUAACAGGGGAAGAAUUAGGAAAGAGGACACGCAAGACCACAGUAAGAGAUGGAAAUAAGAGAAUAUUCCUGAUUUCCACUGGAUGACUUUGACUGGUAUGAUUUCAUUCUCUGAAAGUGUUAACCAGGGUGCAGCAUGGCCAGAAACCAUUCCGAGCCUCAUGAAGUGGGCAAGUCAGGUUUGGUCAUUUUUGGUAAUGUCAUUGCAUGUACACAGUUUAAGACAGAGCAUCUGGUGAUUCUCGGACCUUCAAGCAAGUGUCACAUCUCAGGUGAACCUUGGCAGUUUUAAGAUGAACAAAGUAAUCAAAGCAAAAAUGUCAAAUAAUAAUAAUAAUAAUGAUAUCAGAAGAAUGUCCAGUGCCAUGGUUGGAUUCCCAGAAGGCAGCAUCUGCUCAUGCCAUCAACAACAUGGUGCCAUUUCAGUCAUCCUCUUUUUGUCCCAAAGACAGAAAAAAAAUAGAAAAAAGAAAGAGAAAAAGACACCACGAACCGUCUAUCCUCCUGGUAAUACAAAUACACCUGUAAAUAAACAUGUCAAUGUCUACACACAACGCACAUUUAUGCAGAAUCCAUCCUCUCGGUGCUUCCGUAGUUAUCAAGUAAAAGUCCUUCUAAGCCUAAGAAAUGAUAGUAUUAAUUCAGUCUUGGGGUGUGGGGGGAAAGGUGGACUAUCAUCAAAUAAAAAAGGCGAGGCUAAUUAAGUGACAUCCACUGGGGACUGGGAAAAGAAGAGACUUCUUGUGGGAAAGUAAUUAUAUCUUCAUUGACCCUCCUGGGGUACCCCCAGUGGCAGGGACUCUGCCUCGCGGUGUGACAUCUCCUUUCGGGAUGAGCAGCCAGUCACCUCGAGAAGCCCCCUUCUCCAUGGAUGCGUUUUCUAAUCAUUUCACAUGAUUGAGCCUCCAGCAAGUGAUGCUUUACUUAAU
rnacentral:lncRNA from 1 species